rnacentral:rRNA from 1 species
GAUGAACGCUGGCGGCGUGCCUAAUACAUGCAAGUCGAGCGAACAGACGAGGAGCUUGCUCCUCUGACGUUAGCGGCGGACGUGUGAGUAACACGUGGAUAACCUACCUAUAAUACUGGGAUAACUUCGGGAAACCGGAGCUAAUACCGGAUAAUAUAUUGAACCGCAUGGUUCAAUAGUGAAAGACGGUUUUGCUGUCUCUUAUAGAUGGAUCCGCGCCGCAUUAGGUAGUUGGUAAGGAAACGGCUUACCAAGGCAACGAUGCGUAGCCGACCUGAGAGGGUGAUCGGCCACACUGGAACUGAGACACGGUCCAGACUACUACGGGAGGCAGCAGUAGGGAAUCUUCCGCAAUGGGCGAAAGCCUGACGGAGCAACGCCGCGUGAGUGAUGAAGGUCUUCGGAUCGUAAAACUCUGUUAUUAGGGAAGAACAAAUGUGUAAGUAACUAUGCACGUCUUGACGGUACCUAAUCAGAAAGCCACGGCUAACUACGUG